AACGAACGCUGGCGGCGUGCCUAACACAUGCAAGUCGUGCGAGAAAGUUCCUUCGGGAGCGAGUAAAGCGGCGCACGGGUGAGUAACACGUAGGUAACCUGCCCCCCAGUCUGGAACAACUAGAGGAAACUCUAGCUAAUGCCGGAUGAGACCACGAUCCCCUUCGGGGGGUUGCGGCCAAAGAUGGCCUCUACUUGUAAGCUAUCGCUGAGGGAUGGGCCUGCGGCCAUUAGCUUGUUGGUGAGGUAACGGCUCACCAAGGCUGUGAUGGCUAGCUGGUCUGAGAGGAUGACCAGCCACACUGGGACUGAGACACGGCCCAGA
rnacentral:rRNA from 1 species